UACGGAGGGUGCGAGCGUUGUCCGGAAUCAUUGGGCGUAAAGGGCGCGUAGGUGGCCCGGUCAGUUCAUGGUGAAAGCGCGGGGCUCAACCCUGCGUCGGCCAUGAAUACUGCCGCGGCUGGAGCACUGUAGAGGCAGGCGGAAUUCCGGGUGUAGCGGUGGAAUGCGUAGAGAUCCGGAAGAACACCGGUGGCGAAGGCGGCCUGCUGGGCAGUUGCUGGACACUGAGGCGCGACAGCGUGGGGAGCAAACAGG
rnacentral:rRNA from 1 species